UACGUAGGGUGCGAGCGUUGUCCGGAAUUACUGGGCGUAAAGAGCUCGUAGGUGGUUUGUCGCGUUGUUCGUGAAAACCGGGGGCUUAACCCUCGGCGUGCGGGCGAUACGGGCAGACUGGAGUACUGCAGGGGAGACUGGAAUUCCUGGUGUAGCGGUGGAAUGCGCAGAUAUCAGGAGGAACACCGGUGGCGAAGGCGGAUCUCUGGGCCAGUAUUGACGCUGAGGAGCGAAAGCGUGGGUAGCAAACAGG
rnacentral:rRNA from 1 species